ACGUGAAAUUCCGUCGGAAUCCGGGAGGACCAUCUCCCAAGGCUAAAUACUCCCUAGUGACCGAUAGUGAACCAGUACCGUGAGGGAAAGGUGAAAAGCACCCCGGAAGGGGAGUGAAACAGUUCCUGAAACCGUGUGCCUACAAGUAGUUAGAGCCCGUUAAUGGGUGAUAGCGUGCCUUUUGUAGAAUGAACCGGCGAGUUACGAUUUGUUGCAAGGUUAAGCGGAAAAAGCGGAGCCGUAGCGAAAGCGAGUCUGAAUAGGGCGCAUAAGUAACAGGUCGUAGACCCGAAACCAGGUGAUCUACCCAUGUCCAGGAUGAAGGUAAGGUAAUACUUACUGGAGGUCCGAACCCACGCACGUUGAAAAGUGCGGGGAUGAGGUGUGGGUAGCGGAGAAAUUCCAAUCGAACUUGGAGAUAGCUGGUUCUCUCCGAAAUAGCUUUAGGGCUAGCCUCGAGGUAAAGAGUCAUGGAGGUAGAGCACUGUUUGGACUAGGGGCCCUUCUCGGGUUACCGAAUUCAGAUAAACUCCGAAUGCCAUGUACUUAUACUCGGGAGUCAGACUGCGAGUGAUAAGAUCCGUAGUCGAAAGGGAAACAGCCCAGACCACCAGUUAAGGUCCCCAAAUAUAUGUUAAGUGGAAAAGGAUGUGGGGUUGCUUAGACAACCAGGAUGUUGGCUUAGAAGCAGCCACCAUUGAAAGAGUGCGUAAUAGCUCACUGGUCGAGUGACCCCGCGCCGAAAAUGUACCGGGGCUAAACAUAUUACCGAAACUGUGGAUGAACCUCUUUAGAGGUUCGUGGUAGGAGAGCGUUCUAAGGGCGGUGAAGUCAGACCGGAAGGACUGGUGGAGCGCUUAGAAGUGAGAAUGCCGGUAUGAGUAGCGAAAGAAGGGUGAGAAUCCCUUCCACCGAAUA
rnacentral:rRNA from 1 species